AUUGGCUGUGAUGACCCAAUGAAAUUCAAGCUCAACCGACUGGAUUGUAGACUUCUCUUUUUAGAGAAUGUUAGGGUUUUUAAUCCUAAGUCAAU